rnacentral:rRNA from 1 species
ACAAGUCACACGAGUUUGAUCCUGGCUCAGAUUGAACGCUGGCGGGCAUGCCUUACACAUGCAAGUCCGAACGGCAGCGGACCUUACGGGUGCCGGCGAGUGGCGAACGGGUGAGUAAUAUAUCGGAACGUACCCAGUCGUGGGGGAUAACGCAGCGAAAGUUGUGCUAAUACCGCAUACGACCUGAGGGUGAAAGCGGGGGACCGUAAGGCCUCGCGCGAUUGGAGCGGCCGAUGUCUGAUUAGCUAGUUGGUGGGGUAAAGGCCCACCAAGGCGACGAUCAGUAGCGGGUCUGAGAGGAUGAUCCGCCACACUGGGACUGAGACACGGCCCAGACUCCUACGGGAGGCAGCAGUGGGAAUUUUGGACAAUGGGGGCAACCCUGAUCCAGCCAUGCCGCGUGCGGGAAGAAGGCCUUCGGGUUGUAAACCGCCUUCGGACGGAAAGAAAUCGCAUGGGUUAAUACCCUGUGUGGAUGACGGUACCGUAAGAAGAAGCACCGGCUAACUACGUG